rnacentral:tRNA from 1 species
CGCGGGGUAGAGCAGUGGUCAGCUCGUCAGGCUCAUAACCUGGAGGUCGGCGGUUCGAGUCCGCCCCCCGCAACCA